UUAAAUUGAAGAGUUUGAUCAUGGCUCAGAUUGAACGCUGGCGGCAGGCUUAACACAUGCAAGUCGAACGGUAACAUGAGUGCUUGCACUUGAUGACGAGUGGCGGACGGGUGAGUAAAGUAUGGGGAUCUGCCGAAUGGAGGGGGACAACAGUUGGAAACGACUGCUAAUACCGCAUAAAGUUGAGAGACCAAAGCAUGGGACCUUCGGGCCAUGCGCCAUUUGAUGAACCCAUAUGGGAUUAGCUAGUAGGUGGGGUAAGGGCUCACCUAGGCGACGAUCUCUAGCUGGUCUGAGAGGAUGGCCAGCCACACUGGAACUGAGACACGGUCCAGACUCCUACGGGAGGCAGCAGUGGGGAAUAUUGCACAAUGGGGGGAACCCUGAU
rnacentral:rRNA from 1 species